rnacentral:rRNA from 1 species
GACGAACGCUGGCGGCGUGCCUAAUACAUGCAAGUAGAACGCUGAAGCGAGGAGCUUGCUCCUCUUGGGUGAGUUGCGAACGGGUGAGUAACGCGUAGGUAACCUGCCUUUUAGCGGGGGAUAACUACUGGAAACGAUAGCUAAUACCGCAUAACAUUGGAUGACACAUGUCACUUAUUUGAAAGGGGCAAUUGCUCCACUACAAGAUGGACUUCCCGUGUCUUAGGUAGGUGGUUAGGUAAUGGCCCACCUAGGCGACGAUACAUAACCGGCCUGGGAGGGGUAUCCGCCACCCUGGGACCGGGGCACGGCCCAGGCUCCUUCGGGGAGGAGCAGUAAGGGAUCUUCGGCCAUGGGGGCAACCCUUACCGAGCAACGCCGCGGUAGUGGAGAAGGGUUUCGGAUCGUAAAGCCCUGUUGUAAGUCAAGAACGGGUGUGAGAGUGGAAAGUUCACGCUGCGACGGUAGCUUACCAGAAAGGGACGGCUAACUACGUG